rnacentral:rRNA from 1 species
AGUGAACGCUGGCGGUAGGCCUAACACAUGCAAGUCGAACGGCAGCACAGUAAGAGCUUGCUCUUACGGGUGGCGAGUGGCGGACGGGUGAGGAAUACAUCGGAAUCUACUUUUUCGUGGGGGAUAACGUAGGGAAACUUACGCUAAUACCGCAUACGACCUACGGGUGAAAGCAGGGGAUCUUCGGACCUUGCGCGAUUAAAUGAGCCGAUGUCGGAUUAGCUAGUUGGCGGGGUAAAGGCCCACCAAGGCGACGAUCCAUAGCUGGUCUGAGAGGAUGAUCAGCCACACUGGAACUGAGACACGGUCCAGACUCCUACGGGAGGCAGCAGUGGGGAAUAUUGGACAAUGGGCGCAAGCCUGAUCCAGCCAUACCGCGUGGGUGAAGAAGGCCUUCGGGUUGUAAAGCCCUUUUGUUGGGAAAGAAAAGCAGCAGGUUAAUACCCCGCUGUUCUGACGGUACCCAAAGAAUAAGCACCGGCUAACUUCGUG